rnacentral:rRNA from 1 species
UACGAAGGGGGCUAGCGUUGUUCGGAAUUACUGGGCGUAAAGGGCGCGUAGGCGGCGUGUCAAGUCAGGCGUGAAAGCCCCGGGCUCAACCUGGGAACCGCGCUUGAGACUGGCAUGCUCGAGUUCGGGAGAGGAUGGUGGAAUUCCCAGUGUAGAGGUGAAAUUCGUAGAUAUUGGGAAGAACACCGAUGGCGAAGGCAGCCAUCUGGACCGACACUGACGCUGAGGCGCGAAAGCGUGGGGAGCAAACAGGGAU